rnacentral:rRNA from 1 species
UGGCAGCCAUGCCGCGUGUAUGAAGAAGGCUUCGGGUGUAAAGUACUUUCAGCAGUGAGGAAGGUGGAGUAUGUUAAUAGCAUAUUCAUUUGACGUUAGCUGCAGAAGAAGCACCGGCUAACUCCGUGCCAGCAGCCGCGGUAAUACGGAGGGUGCGAGCGUUAAUCGGAAUUACUGGGCGUAAAGCGCAUGCAGGUGGUUUGUUAAGUCAGAUGUGAAAGCCCGGGGCUCAACCUCGGAAUUGCAUUUGAAACUGGCAAACUAGAGUACUGUAGAGGGGGGUAGAAUUUCAGGUGUAGCGGUGAAAUGCGUAGAGAUCUGAAGGAAUACCGGUGGCGAAGGCGGCCCCCUCGGACAGAUACUGACACUCAGAUGCGAAAGCGUGGGGAGCAAACAGGAUUAGAUACCCUGGUAG